UCGGCAACGGAUAUCUAGGCUCUCGCAUCGAUGAAGAACGCAGNNAAAUGCGAUACUUGGUGUGAAUUGCAGAAUCCCGUGAACCAUCGAGUCUUUGAACGCAAGUUGCGCCCGAAGCCUUCGGGCCGAGGGCACGCCUGCCUGGGCGUCACGC
rnacentral:rRNA from 1 species